GAAAUGUACGGCAGCCCCACCAGACACCCGGCUAUUAAUAGAGCCCGGGAGUUUGCUCUCUUGUCUUUUUCCUGCCACCGAGUAAGGGAUGAUCUUCACACACAUACCCCACUCCACCCCCACCUCGGCGCACCGUUUCUCCGGGAAGGUAUGUUCUUGGUGGUGGUUUUUAACUGGAGAAUAUCGGCAGAAAUGAAAGUUCUACUAAGAAUCAGCAGAAACAUGCACUUCCUCGAACCAAGAGACUCCUGCCUUCAUUAUGGUAUACACACAUCUGAAACCUCUUGACUCUAUGCCUGUUUGGGGAACUAUGCAGCCCCUAGCUAGGAGGUGGAGAAGUCUACAUGAAGAGCACAGACACAGGCCCAAGAAGUCAGUCCCUGAGCUGGUCUCCAUGGCAAAGGAAUUCAGGAGAUCACCUCAGAUCAGAAUCCUUUUGGACAGACUUUACCCCAAGCCACCAUUCAAAAAGGCUUCUUCCCCAAUUUGAUCUUUGUGUUGUUCCAGAAAACUGCUUUCAUUGAUGUCUCAUCUGCCUGGAAUCUAGAGGAUUUUUGGCUGGCCCCUAAUUGGUGACAAUCAGCCUUUGACCCUUGACCAACUCCAGAGACAGAAAGUCUCCUUACAGUCUAUUCUGGUUCACUUGGGGAUCUUCUUUAUGUAAAAUGGCACUCUUCUGGGCCAAACACCUGCUGCUUUCUUGUUCACUAAUGUGUG